rnacentral:rRNA from 1 species
CAGCCGCCGCGGGAAUACAGAGGGUGCGAGCGUUAAUCGGAUUUACUUGGCGUAAAGCGUGCGUAGGCGGCUUUUUAAGUCGGAUGUGAAAUCCCUGAGCUUAACUUAGGAAUUGCAUUCGAUACUGGGAAGCUAGAGUAUGGGAGAGGAUGGUAGAAUUCCAGGUGUAGCGGUGAAAUGCGUAGAGAUCUGGAGGAAUACCGGUGGCGAAGGCGGCCCCCUGGACAAAGACUGACGCUCAGGUGCGAAAGCGUGGGGAGCAAACAGGAUUAGAUACCCCGGUAGUCCCUGUCUCUUAUAU